AAACUUCCCCAUUGCUUCCGAGCUGGGGCCACCCCACAUCCGUCCUCACCUCACUGUCACCUCCUGGGGUGACAGGGGGCACCCACAGCCGUUGCCGGUGUCCCCAAGUGUCCCAGGUGAAGGGUGGCUCCAGCUCGUCCCUCCCCUCGGCGCCUUCCUUGUGCCCGUCACGGGGGAUUAGCGCAGGGACAGCCCCGGGCUCGGGAACAGGGACAAGGGACAGGGCCACCCGCCACCUCGCCUGGAUGUAGGGAGGACCGAGGGCGACACCCCCCAUCCCUGCGGUGGGCGAGGACGGGGACACCCCCCGUGCCCCGCCAGCCCUUGGGGACACCAUGAAGGACCGGCUGGAGCAGCUCAAGGCGAAGCAGGAGGCGGAUGAUGACAGCGAGGAGCUGGAGAUUGCCAUCGACAACACAGCGUUUAUGGACGAAUUCUUCUCGGAGAUCGAGGAGACGCGGCAAAACAUCGACAAGAUCUCUGAGAAUGUGGAGGAGGCCAAGAAGCUCUACAGCAUCAUCCUCUCAGCACCCAUCCCCGAGCAGAAGACCAAAGACGACCUGGAGCAGCUGACGACAGAAAUCAAGAAAAUGGCCAAUAGUGUCCGCAACAAGUUAAAGAGCAUGGAGAGGAAUAUCGAGCAGGAUGAGGCACGAUCCUCUGCCGACCUCCGGAUACGCAAGUCCCAGCACUCGGUCCUGUCCCGCAAGUUCGUUGACGUCAUGACCAAGUACAACGAGGCGCAGGUCGACUUUCGGGAGCGCAGCAAGGGCCGGAUCCAGCGCCAGCUCGAGAUCACUGGCAAGAACACAACAGAUGAGGAGCUGGAGGAGAUGCUGGAGAGUGGAAACCCCUCCAUCUUCACCUCGGGGAUCAUGGACUCGCAGAUCUCGAAGCAGGCGCUGAGCGAGAUCGAGGGGCGGCACAAGGACAUCGUCCGGCUGGAGAGCAGCAUCAAGGAGCUGCACGACAUGUUCGUGGACAUCGCCAUGCUGGUGGAGAACCAGGGAUCCAUGAUUGAUCGCAUUGAGAACAACAUGGACCAGUCCGUCGGCUUCGUGGAACGGGCUGUGGCCGACACCAAAAAGGCUGUGAAGUACCAAAGUGAGGCCAGGAGGAAGACGCUGGUUUUGGUGGCGGUAGCGCUGCUCGCGCUGGGGACAGUUGCGCUCAUCAUCGGCCUUUCCCUGGGGCUAAAAAAGAAAUAACCCCACCCGUGGCGGGGGCUGUGGCCUACACUGUCCCAGCAGCGACAUCACCUUGUGGGACCCCCCCCAGCACCGCGGCUCAGUCCCCUCCUCUCCCUGCGUCCUCCCCGCACCGACUGUCCUCCUGUCACCGGACGCUGUCCCCCCGCCGACUGUCCCCUGCUGUCCCACCGGUCCCCAGGCUUUGUCCCUUGUGUCCCCUGUGGGAAGGCAACAGGACUCUAUUUAUUUUUCUUGUCCUCCCCAUCUUUUGGAGGGGGCCACCGUGGCACAGUGACACUGCAGGGAUGUGGCAGCUGGUGCCACAUUCCCUGUGAGAGGGGACAAGGUGACCUGGUCACCUGCGUGGAUGUCCCAUAGGGAUGAGGGAUGGGAAAACAGUCAGGACAGGGGGUUUGGUGGCACCAGCAGCUGCUGGUGGCUCUGGCCACACUUUGCUGUCUCCACAAACAGAGCCACCAGGUAUCUUGUCCCCUUGUGGCUGUGAUGUCUGAGGCUGGCAUGUCCCCAGGCGGGGAGGACGCAGCCAUUGUGUUUAUUUGGUUAUUUAAUCCCCGUUACAAUAAAAUCCCAGCUGCCACCCACCCUGCGCCUCUCCGCUCCAUGCACAAGGUGAAAUUGGGGACAAAUGGGGACAAGUGGGGUGCUGGUACCCUCAGACACCUGACAUGGCGGGGCCGAGGACAGCUCAGCUUGUGACGGUAGUGACAUCGCAGCCGUGCCGGCGGCUUUGGCCAAGGUUUUCAGGGCCUGUAGUGACACCAUCCCUCAGGGUGGAGAGGUGACAGUGGACAAACCACCUUUCCCUGCGAUUUUGGAAGAAGAUCAUGAUCAUGAUCUGCUGCAUCAUCCUCGCUGUCAUCCUGGCUUCCAGCAUCGGGAGCAUCUUCGCCUGAGUCCUCCCCCCGCUGCCCUCCAGGUGGCCUUUCCCCCUCCUGCCCGGACGAUCUUGAGGGUCUCUUCCAACCAAAAUGAUUCUAUGGUUCGGUGAUUCUACGAUUUCUCUGCCUCGCCACCCACGCCGGAGCCUUCCUCCCGAAUAAAGAGAUCCCCCACA